rnacentral:misc_RNA from 1 species
ACUCCGAUACGAAAAAAGGCUCUGGCAGGACAUCCUGCCAGGGCCUUUUUCUUUUGCGCUCGCUGCAAUCAAGU